ACGGCCAUACCACAUUGAAAACACCGGUUCUCGUCCGAUCACCGAAGUUAAGCAAUGUCGGGCCCGGUCAGUACUUGGGAGGGUGACCACCUGGGAACACCAGGUGCUGUAGGCU
rnacentral:rRNA from 1 species